UUAUUGCGUUAAAACUGAAUGCAAAGCCCUUUCCUCACCGAGACACGGCCUUGGUGAGCUGCUCAUGCUGCACGGCAGGAUUUUUCUCCAAACGAAGCCAUUUUUGGCUGAAGCUGGUGCGGGGCUGUCUUCCUGUCCCGGCUUGGCACCGUGCUGCAGCAUCAAUUUGUAUUUUUUGUUUUCCGUAGCUUUUCUGUAUCCACGAGAAACAGCCAUUUCUCAGAUGUUUUGCUUCCCAUUGACAAACCUCAUGAAAAUUUCUGCGAGUUGCCGCUGUUCUAUUUCGGGACGGACGGGGCUAUUUUUAGCAAUCAAUUAAAGCUCCCAUCUGUAAGUGCCGGGAAAGUGAUCGAGCGCAAAGUAAUCCCUUGUUCUUCCCGUGGAGUCCGGCUGCCUUGCUCGCAUUGUCACCCGCCCCGGCGUGCUUUGACAUCCCAAAAUAGCAGCUGGUGCUGCAGUUUGUGCAGCACACGCUACCCUGCAGCCUUGAAGCGGAAGCUUCCAGCUCAGCUUCGCCUGCCAGAUCCAUCGGAUGUCGAGGAAAAGGAAAACCUGUGCGUGCAGCCUCCUUGGUCCUGCAGCGAAAAGCAGGGGAACCUCUCAGCACACCGUGUGCCACGGACGUGAAGCCGUCGUCCUUUUGCUCGCAGGGGCUGACAUUAUUGUCAAGCUCUAAUGGAGAAGGGGAAAUCGAACAGCUUCACGAUGGCCCGGCACUGUCUGCGGCGUGACCUUUUUCCAGUUGAUGGUUCAAUUUAUUUAGGUGAUAAAGAAAACACCGAGGCAUGUGAAGUCUGUCUUCCUGACAGAUGGGAGCUUGCCGAAACUUUUUUCCUCAUCCUUUUUUCCUUCCCCGCGUUCGCUGGCAGCCUUUUGUUUUUAUAAAGUGGCCCAUCUAUUUUCCUCGGAGGUUUAAAUGCUUUCUAAUCUUUUCAAGGCUUACAAAACUGCUCCUGACUUGACAGCCUGGAAGGGGAAAAAGCCGAGCGGUUGUUGAGGUGUGCUGCAAAAGAGCGAUGCUCAUGUUUUGUGGAAGGCGAUGCAUGGCAUGUGCAAAAAUCCUUUGUGUUGGGGGCAUGGGGGCUUAGGCAGGUCUGUGAGCUUGUUGAGAAAAACAGCAUUAAAUUGGUAUUUUUGUUAAAUCGGUCCUGGCAUUGGAUUCUGUCACAAUAGUGGUGACUGAUAAAGGUUCCUGCCAAAGCCUGCUCAGAAAACUUACCCUGAAAUCACGAUGAAAACCAUCAAGCUUGCUGCUAAAUGUGUUUGCAAUUAUUAAAUGCUUAUUAUUUUGCUUGA